AUCCUUACCUGGCAGGGGAGAUACCAUGAUCAUGAAGGAGUGGUUUACCCGGCGAGGCUCAGCCAUUGCACUUCGGUUGUGCUGAAGCCGUGCAGAUUCCCCAAAUGUGGGAAUCUCGACUGCAUAAUUUGUGGUAGUGGGGACUGCGUCACGCUCUCCCCU